rnacentral:rRNA from 1 species
UACGUAGGGUCCGAGCGUUGUCCGGAGUUACUGGGCGUAAAGCGCGCGCAGGUGGUCCACUAAGCCCGGCGUGAAAGCCCCCGGCUCAACCGGGGAGGGUCGUCGGGGACUGGUGGACUUGAGGGUGGCAGGGGCUGGUGGAAUUCCCGGUGUAGUGGUGAAAUGCGUAGAGAUCGGGAGGAACACCCGUGGCGAAGGCGGCCAGCUGGGCCAACCCUGACACUGAGGCGCGAAGGCGUGGGGAGCGAACGGG